rnacentral:rRNA from 1 species
UACGUAGGGGGCAAGCGUUGUCCGGAAUCAUUGGGCGUAAAGCGCGUGUAGGCGGCCAGAUAAGUCCGUUCUGAAAGCCCGGGGCUCAACCCCGGGAGGCGGAUGGAUACUGUUUGGCUCGAGUCCGGAAGAGGCGAGUGGAAUUCCCGGUGUAGCGGUGAAAUGCGCAGAUAUCGGGAGGAACACCAAUGGCGAAGGCGACUUCCUGGCCUGUUCUUGACGCUGAGGCGCGAAAGCUAGGGGAGCAAACAGG